UGGGCAAAUUUUCCUCUGGACAGGUUUUGAUAAAUUCCCCCCACUUUGCUUUGUACAGAGAAUGCCAGAAACACUUUUCAAGUCUAUAAUUUGAGGACGUGGCCAGCUUAUAGGAACUAGCUAAAGGGUUAUGCUGAGACAAUAUUGUAUAAACAGAUUUCUGCAAUCUCAGCAUUCAGAAUAUUUGCAAAUACAAUGACAGAACAUUCCACGUUUGCUAUGGACCAGAAUUGGUAGAACAGCCAGAAUCCUGUCAGCUAAUGACUAUGGAACAGUGUGAACACAGACAGAUCUAUGAAGGAGAGAGCUCUACUGACUGUCGGAUUUUUUUCAAAACCUGCAGCAAAACACAUGGACAGACAUCAUUGUACACACAAACCCAGAUCAUAGGAAAAGAUCCAGGGAAUUUGUCUAAAAUAAACAAAAUG